UGAAUGCAGUUAUCAAUUUGAGCCAACACGUACCUUAUACUGCUUUCUUUCCUCAAGUCAAGUGGCACAAAACUCACCAUGUUAUAUUCGUCCACCAGUUCAAUUAAAGCUUUAUUUAGCUUUGAAAAUUGUGGAGCCAUACGUUGAUUCAACACUGACAACAAAACUUGAGGCUCCGGAUUUAAGAAGUCUUCAAUAUCCUUUUUGUUAGUCACAAGAUCCAUUUUGGAGAGGAUGUUAAUAUGUGGUAAUUCAAGUUGGACCAUUGCUGAA
rnacentral:misc_RNA from 1 species